GACGGAGGUUGCGAGCGUUGUUCGGAAUUACUGGGCGUAAAGGGGGCGCAGGCGGUUUGGUCAGUCUGGGGUGAAAGCCCGGGGCUCAACCCCGGAAUUGCCUUGGAUACUGCCAAACUUGAGUUCGUGAGAGGAGAGCGGAAUUCCUGGUGUAGCGGUGAAAUGCGUAGAUAUCAGGAGGAACACCGAUGGCGAAAGCAGCUCUCUGGCACGUAACUGACGCUGAGGCCCGAAAGCGUGGGGAGCAAACAGG
rnacentral:rRNA from 1 species